AGAGUUUGAUCCUGGCUCAGAACGAACGCUGGCGGCGUGUCUUAAGCAUGCAAGUUGAGCGGCAAGGAGGAGAGAUCCUCCCUAGAGCGGCGGACUGGUGAGUAACGCGUGGGUAAUCUAUCGUAGGCAUGGGGAUAGUCACUAGAAAUAGUGGGUAAUACCGAAUACGUUCCAUGAGGGGAGUAUUCAUGGAAGAAAGGGUGCUACGGCACUGGCCUUAGGUGAGCUCGCGUCCCAUUAGCUAGUUGGUGAGGUAAAGGCCCACCAAGGCGAUGAUGGGUAGCCGGCCUGAGAGGGUGUACGGCCACACUGGGACUGAGAUACGGCCCAGACUCCUACGGGAGGCAGCAGCUAAGAAUAUUCCGCAAUGGACGAAAGUCUGACGGAGCGACGCCGCGUGGAUGAAGAAGGCCGAAAGGUUGUAAAGUUCUUUUGCUAGGGGAGAAUAAGUGAGGGAGGGAAUGCCCUCAUGAUGACAAGGACUAGCGAAUAAGCCCCGGCCAACUACGUGCCAGCAGCCGCGGUAACACGUAGGGGGCGAGCGUUGUUCGGAAUUACUGGGCGUAAAGGGCAUGUAGGCGGCUUGGUAAGCCUGGCGUGAAAGACUGCAGCUUAACUGUAGGGAUGCGUUGGGAACUGCUUAGCUUGAGUUACGGAGAGGGAGCUGGAAUUCCUGGUGUAGGGGUGAAAUCUGUAGAUAUCAGGAAGAACACCGAUGGCGAAGGCAAGCUUCUGGUCGAUAACUGACGCUGAGGUGCGAAAGUGUGGGGAUCAAACAGGAUUAGAUACCCUGGUAGUCCACACUGUAAACGAUGUGCACGAGGUGCUGGGGCGGUAGUUUCAGUGCCGGAGCGAACGCGGUAAGUGCACCGCCUGGGGAGUAUGCUCGCAAGGGUGAAACUCAAAGGAAUUGACGGGGGCCCGCACAAGCGGUGGAGCAUGU
rnacentral:rRNA from 1 species